rnacentral:misc_RNA from 1 species
CUCUCUGGCCCUCCUUCGAUCCCGAUCCCGAUCCCUACAACUUCAAUUCCUUGCAGGAGAAUGCUUUGUCGAAUGGCGUUGUUUCUAGGAAGUCGAAGAAACCGAGGAAUGGCAAAUUGGACAGACCUGCACCUGCUGGAAAGAGUAGUAAUNGGUCUUUAGUUCCGGUGACUUCGACUUUGAUGGAGGCGCAGGAAUUUGGAGAGAUGAUGGAGCAUGUUGAUGAGGUUAAUUUUGGGCUUGAUGGGUUGAGGAAAGGCCAACCUGUUAGAAUCAGGAGGGCCAGCUUAUUGUCUCUUUUGUCGAUUUGUGGAACAGCACAGCAGCGACGGCUCUUGAGGGCUCAAGGGUUGGAAAAGAAAAU